GCCCUCGGUGCCUGUGCCCGGGCUGAGGAGACCUUCCUCGACACCCCACGUUAUGUGGGUUUCCGCAAGACCUUCCGCCAUUGCCUGGGCUUUGAAAGCGCUUUAGGAACGGUAAAGCAUUGCUGUAACUUAAAGUAGUGUUACUCUGGCUUGACUGAAAUGUUCUGUGGAAACAAGUCACUGUGUUUGCAGUAGGGAAAAAAAGACUUACGGAUCAAAUCCAAAAUUUAAUGUGCAUAGGAUUUACAGAAGCUAAGGACUUCACAUCCAUUGUCAUAUCCAUAAUAAUAACAUAGCUUUGCCACACGAAAUACAGGAGAGCUCAUUUAAACCUGAAUUUCAGAAAAAUGGAGAUUUUUUUUAAAAAUAUAAGAAUAUCCCGUUUGGGUUAUACUUCCUGUUUGUUUUGGUUCGUUUUACUAAAUCUGAGAACCCUAUCUAACUCAUGGAAACUUUACAGAUACGGAAACGGAGGCUUAGAAGUGGAAACUUUACAGAUAUGGAAACUGAGACUUAGAAAAAUGACCCGUCAAAGAUGGAACGCUGCAUUUAUAUAACUUGUUUAGUCAUCUACCAGUUUCAUUUGUCUUUCUUGCACUGUCCUGGAGGGCCUCACAGCUACAUUCGGAGGCCACAAGGCAAAUGUACAGUGUGCUUCAAUUGGAACAGGAGUUGCUGUGACUUCUCCCUUCGGAGCAAUCACUGUUGCCCACUCAUAUGGACAUACUGAAGGAAAUUCUUGGAACGAGGGUGUAGUAGAGAGGGAGCAGGGGAAAGAACGAAGGGAAGAUUGAAAGAAGAUGGAGCCACAAAGGAGCCAUAGCCUCCUCACACCUCAGUCUUGUUUUAUCUCUGCCAGCCAUUGUUGUGGUGGCUACUAA
rnacentral:lncRNA from 1 species